UACGGAGGGUGCAAGCGUUGCUCGGAAUUAUUGGGCGUAAAGGGUAGGUAGGUGGUCUUAUUUGUCUAGGGUGAAAGCCUUGAGCUUAACUCAAGAAGUGCCCUAGAAACGGUAAGACUAGAGUCCUGGAGAGGGUCGUGGAAUUCCCGGUGUAGCGGUGAAAUGCGUAGAGAUCGGGAGGAACACCAGAGGCGAAGGCGGCGACCUGGACAGGUACUGACACUCAACUACGAAAGCGUGGGGAGCAAACAGG
rnacentral:rRNA from 1 species